UGCAUCCACGGGGGGCAGCAGUAGGGAAUCUUCCACAAUGGACGAAAGUCUGAUGGAGCAACGCCGCGUGAGUGAAGAAGGGUUUCGGCUCGUAAAACUCUGUUGGUAGUGAAGAAAGAUAGAGGUAGUAACUGGCCUUUAUUUGACGGUAAUUAAUUAGAAAGUCACGGCUAACUACGUGCCAGCAGCCGCGGUAAUAAGUAAGUGGGAAGCGUUGUCCGGAUUUAUUGGGCGUAAAGCGGGUGCAGGCGG
rnacentral:rRNA from 1 species